UCCCCGCAGUGGAGCUGGGAGCCAGGGCGUGAGCCGGGCUUGCCCACCAAGCUGUCUGCAGCACGCCCUCGCAGUGGGAGCUGGUGAUGGGGUCUUGCCUGGGCUCCCGUGAGAAGCAGAGAAGACCCUUCCUUGGAGGGUGCUGGAAGCAGCGUGUGGUGGCUGUGCUGCCUUUCCCUCCUGAAAAGCCUAUGCGGUGCCAGCUAACCCUUCACCUCGGAAGAGAUAUCUCCACGUGCCCCACCCGUCUGGACUCCUAGAAAUGUCACUGAGGAGGGAGGCCCCUGAAUUAUUGUUGGACUUAUUUCCUGCCUCUGUCAUGCAGAUAUCCUACCAAGCACAGUUCCCUGGAUGAGAGGCCACAGAAGGUGAAGACCGGGGAAAGAUUACAGUUCAGUGAUGCUCCAGGACCUUCCUUGAGGGAACCCUGUCUCUCCCACUUCAAGCUGUUCUGUGUCUAUAACUGGCUCAGGUCUGAGAAUUGAUGGAGGGGCCAGGACUCUGUUUUUUUAUGAUUAAUGUCAGACUUUCCCACAUUUGACCCAGAACUUCUCUGCUUAAGUAGAUCAAGUG